UCUUCCGGAGUCACCUGAUAGCUGCCUCCUCUGGGAAGUUCUCCCUGAGUGUCCCACCUCUCUGAUGACAUUAGGAGCUUCUCCCGGCUUACUCCAGCUUCUUUGCUUUCUUCAGAUAGCAUUUAUUCUGCUGGACUAAUGGCAGAGACAAAAAGUUGUCCACAAACUAUUAUUCCUUUCCAUGGCAUAUGCCUGUGGCUAAGAAAGAAGCUGUCCAAACUGGAGCCCCAGGUCGAAGCUUCCCUGGCUUGUGGGAGUGGUCAUACAAGUUGCUCCUGCCACAGGAGUAAAGGCCCUUGCACCCAGCAGGGAUUAUCAUCCUUAUCCCAUAAAAGAAGGAAAUGAGGUUAAGUACCUGGGACUCUGGAGGAUAUCACUAUGUAGGCUGGCUGUGAGUUCAAGUCUAGCCUGCCUGGUCUACCAAGAGAAUUCUAGAACAUCGAGGAUUACAGAGAGAGACCCUCUCCCCCCCCCCCAUAAAUAAAUACACACAUAAAUAAAUAAAUCAAAAUCA